rnacentral:lncRNA from 1 species
AUUAUUGUGGAAUCAUCUGUCUCCUGAAGUCAUCUUGUGAUAUACGCUGUGGACAGAAAAAGAUUAAAGAAGCAGGCUGGCGAGGGUGUAUUUAUGCAACGUGACAAGAACAUGCACAAGGAAGGAUGAUGUCAUAAUGGAUCUCUCUACCAUUCAUGGUAUGAAGGAGUCCAGUCUGACAGUUUUGACUGGCAGAGGUGGAAAAGUUGACAUCUGUUCAAAAGAGGGCUGUCAAAGAAUCUCCUCACAGGUGACUUUUGGCAAAUUAACUGCAUCAUUCCCACCUUGUAGACCUCAUCUGUGAUCCCGUUCAUCUGCAUUAUUUUUUUGAAUGGAGUGGGACAGUGGUCAGAGAAGGCAAGCGUAUCCUGAUACCCAAGCCAACUAAGAGGAACAAGACAGUCUUCCUGCAAUCUAACACUGAUCACCAACUAGUA